GUCUUGGGCUUCACGCAUGCUACAAUGGCCGGUACAAAGGGCUGCGAUACCGCGAGGUGGAGCGAAUCCCAGAAAGCCGGUCUCAGUUCGGAUUGGGGUCUGCAACUCGACCCCAUGAAGUCGGAGUCGCUAGUAAUCGCAGAUCAGCAACGCUGCGGUGAAUACGUUCCCGGGCCUU
rnacentral:rRNA from 1 species